GAAAAUUAAUCAAGUUUAAUCUUGGAAUAAUGAGUUUUCCGUGUUAUCAUCGUAUGGUAAUUGGUCACUCGAAAUUAAUGUCAUGUCUUGGCUUGUAACAGACGCGUUUAUUUUAAAUUUUAAAUGUUCGCAACUAAUCAAGUCUUUAUAAUGGCAUGUUUAAUUUUUCCCUUUUAAAAAGAGGAAGAAAUCAAACAACUUUUUUUUAUAA
rnacentral:misc_RNA from 1 species